UACGUAGGGCGCAAGCGUUAUCCGGAAUUAUUGGGCGUACAGAGCUCGUAGGCGGUUUGUCGCGUCUGCCGUGAAAGUCCGGGGCUCAACUCCGGAUCUGCGGUGGGUACGGGCAGACUAGAGUGAUGUAGGGGAGACUGGAAUUCCUGGUGUAGCGGUGAAAUGCGCAGAUAUCAGGAGGAACACCGAUGGCGAAGGCAGGUCUCUGGGCAUUAACUGACGCUGAGGAGCGAAAGCAUGGGGAGCGAACAGG
rnacentral:rRNA from 1 species